AGAGCGGCGGACGGGUGAGUAAUGCCUAGGAGUCUAGCCUGGUAGUGGGGGAUAACGUUCGGAAGCGGACGCUAAUACCGCAUACGUCCUACGGGAGAAAGCAGGGGACCUUCGGGCCUUGCGCUAUCAGAUGAACCUAGGUCGGAUUAACUAGUUGGUGAGGUAAUGGCUCACCAAGGCGACGAUCCAUAACUGGUCUGAGAGGAUGAUCAAUCACACUGGAACUGAGACACGGUCCAGACUCCUACGGGAGGCAGCAGUGGGGAAUAUUGGACAAUGGGCGAAAGCCUGAUCCAGCCAUGCCGCGUGUGUGAAGAAGGUCUUCGGAUUGUAAAGCACUUUAAUUUGGGAGGAAGGGUUGUAAAUUAAUACUCUGCAAUUUUGACGUUACCGACAGAAUAAGCACCGGCUAACUCUGUGCCAGCAGCCGCGGUAAUACAGAGGGUGCAAGCGUUAAUCGGAAUUACUGGGCGUAAAGCGCGCGUAGGUGGUUCGUUAAGUUGGAUGUGAAAGCCCCGGGCUCAACCUGGGAACUGCAUUCAAAACUGACGAGCUAGAGUAUGGUAGAGGGUGGUGGAAUUUCCUGUGUAGCGGUGAAAUGCGUAGAUAUAGGAAGGAACACCAGUGGCGAAGGCGACCACCUGGACUGAUACUGACAC
rnacentral:rRNA from 1 species